CCACGACGAUGAGUGAAAAUUUUAGUGGCUAAAAGCAAAGAGCACUGAUGUCACUUUACCCCAACACAAUGACACUUUCUAUCCUCCUUAACGCUGCUGCUGCUGCUGCUGGUGGUGCUUGGGAUUGUGCCGCAUCGCGUCUCGUCUUAAGUACAUAAGUGGCCUCCGUUCACACUCAUCCGAAUCCGCACUGGGACCCCUUCUACCCUUCCCCACUACCCGCACUCUAGUUCUCCUGGUAACAACAACACGCUGGCUUUUAUUACAUGGGGCAGCUGGAAUAUUUCAAAUCACGCUGUGAAUCGUUGGCGGUAUCUACAUAUAUCUAUACAGUUCAAUUUUGUGUAUUAGUAUCUGU